rnacentral:tRNA from 2 species
AUUUAUAUAGUUUAGGAAAACAUUACAUUUUCACUGUAAAGACAAGAGAAAAUCUUUAUAAAUA